rnacentral:rRNA from 1 species
GAUGAACGCUGGCGGCGUGCCUAAUACAUGCAAGUCGAGCGAGCGGACGAGAAGCUUGCUUCUCUGAUGUUAGCGGCGGACGGGUGAGUAACACGUGGAUAACCUACCUAUAAGACUGGGAUAACUUCGGGAAACCGGAGCUAAUACCGGAUAAUAUUUUGAACCGCAUGGUUCAAAAGUGAAAGACGGUCUUGCUGUCACUUAUAGAUGGAUCCGCGCUGCAUUAGCUAGUUGGUAAGGUAACGGCUUACCAAGGCAACGAUGCAUAGCCGACCUGAGAGGGUGAUCGGCCACACUGGAACUGAGACACGGUCCAGACUCCUACGGGAGGCAGCAGUAGGGAAUCUUCCGCAAUGGGCGAGAGCCUGACGGAGCACGGCCGCGUGAGUGAUGAAGGUCUUCGGAUCGUAAAACUCUGUUAUUAGGGAAGAACAUAUGUGUAAGUAACUGUGCACAUCUUGACGGUACCUAAUCAGAAAGCCACGGCUAACUACGUG